UUCCGGGCCAAGUCCAAGGGACGUAGGAGAGCGGGAAUGGUCGGCCGCCGUGCUCGGUUGUGGAGCGUGGCUCUUAGUCCCCAAGGCGCGUACUCAUCAUGUCUUUCACAGAACAGAACAUUCUGACUUCGAUGAAGUGCAGUUUAUCAAUUCUUCCUUUCAUAGUGUUGUAUCGAAAAGUCACUUCCUUGCGCAAGAGAGAGAAACAGCAAGAGAGGGAACACAAGCAGG